UCCUAUUUUCUUCAAUUAAGCAGCUAUUUCAAAGACAUGUCAUCUGUUUACCAUUAAUGCAUCCUAACACAGCCAUCCGUGGAUCAACAGCAGAGACCAUCUAGAAAGGCUACAUUAUACUUGUGCAAUUUUUAUAUGCUUUCUCAUAUGCAUGUACAUUUCAAUUCCAAGCCAACAUCUUUAAAGCGAAAUAUCACAGGGAAAAUAAAAUGACAGUGAAUUUAACUUUACAGGGGAAAAAUGUAUUGAAACUUAUAUUACUUAAACAUCAAUGUUCUUUUUCUGACUUUUGCUUUACUCAGAUGUUCAAAGUGAAGGACUUUGCAGUCCUUCUUUGCAACUCCCACAUGGACAUUUCUGUAUACUUCCAGGCGAACUGGCAGUUUCUCCUUGCCAUGACUUAAAAUUGUCCUAAUAUUUGCUAACCAAAUUUGGGUGUCAUUUUCCUUCCAUAACAGUCCUUUUCCUUUCCCCAGGGGUAGAAAGAGAUGCUGAGGUGUUCUGAGAAACAAUUAAUUUAAAAAGAAAAAGAAAAGGAAGUUCUCACCCCAUCGGAUGUCCCCUCAGACUAUCUUCUGUGUGUAUUUAUCCACCAGUGUGGGUUGCCAUCUGCUCACUACCAGGUGCCCUCAUAAGUGAAAGCCAGCUGUCCUGACUCUUCACUUCCUCCCUCCUCACAAAAAGCUACCAGUUUUCACUCAUUCAGUUAACAAAUAUCUAUUAUACCCUUAUGAGAGAUGAUGAUAAAUAUCACAAGCAUUUAAAAUGUGCAUUUCUUUUGAGAAAUUAUUUCAUUUCUAUGAACUUUUACUAGGAAAUAUCAUGGACUUGGUUAUAAGGACGUUCAAUUGCAAUGUAAAAGAUAAAAACUAAGUGGAAAAAACAAUAAAAUAGAAUCCUAUACAACAUAAAGCAUUAUUAAAUGAAAAUGGCAGAUUGGCCAUAACAGUAUAUGAAUAUUACAUAAAACAAUGUACGUAUAUUUUUGAAAUUUAAUAUGCUAUUUUUAGAGCAAUUUUCACAGCAAAACUGAGCUGAAAGUACAGUGUUCACAUAUAUCCCCUGCCCUCACAUACACAAAGCCUCCCCCACUCAACAUCUUGAACCACAGUGGUAUGUUUGUUAUAAUCUAUGAGCCUACACUGAUACAUCAUUAUCAGCCAAAGUCCAUAAUGUACAUUAUGGUUUACUCUUGGUACAUUCUACAGUACAUUAUGGUACAUUCUAUGGGUCUUGACAAAUAUAUAAUGACAUGUAUCUACCAUUGUAAAACUAUAUUUUGAAAAUAGAAACACAUACUUUAAAGUAUUAAUAUUUAUGUUUGGAUAACAGAAUUGCAGAAGAAUGUCUCUCUGUAUUUUUUACUCUAGGUAUACAUUAUUUUAUAAUAAAACAGUAAUUUUCAAGAGCCUCUGUUUAAGUAGGGGAACUAAAAGUUAAUGGAAGUGUUGCCUUGAUGAUUACUGGUAGGUGGCAAAAGAAAGUAAGUCCAACUAAAAAAUUAAAAGAAGUUAGGUA